GAUGAAGAACGUAGCAAAAUGCGAUAAGUAAUGUGAAUUGCAGAAUUCAGUGAAUCAUCGAAUCUUUGAACGCACAUUGCGCCCGCCAGUAUUCUGGCGGGCAUGCCUGUUCGAGCGUCAUUUCAACCCUCAAGCACAGCUUGGUGUUGGGACUCGCGUUAAUUCGCGUUCCCCAAAUUGAUUGGCGGUCACGUCGAGCUUCCAUAGCGUAGUAGUAAAACCCUCGUUACUGGUAAUCGUCGCGGCCACGCCGUUAAACCCUAACUUCUGAAUGUUGACCUCGGAUCAGGUAGGAAUACCCGCUGAACUUAAGCAUAUCAAUAAGCGGAGGA
rnacentral:misc_RNA from 1 species